rnacentral:lncRNA from 1 species
GGGUCUUCAUAAAAAUGAAAUCCGCGUAACUUUGUUUGUUCGCACAAACAAAUCCAAACUGUUGUAUUUGGGAACGGAAUAUAUACUUGGAAAUAGUCAAAUAGAAACCCAGCAAGCAAACUGAAUCAGAAUUCAUUACUUCUUUCCUUCAUCAUCAUGGUCAGUUGUCAAAGCAGGCCGCGUUCGAACAUAAUGGAGUCCACUUUGUUUUUAGCAUCUUUCUGAAAGAAGAAAAAAACGGAAGAAGUUAUCAAAGUAGGAAUUAUGAACUAUUUACUGAAAUUCUGUUUAUCUAACCAUAUAUUAAGCAAUCAUCUCCAUUUUUUUACGAAGAAAGAUAAUAGUUUGAUCAAUCUUAUUAAUGCUGACACUGCGAUUAUAAAGGAUUCAAAGCAUUAACAAGUUUAGUUGGGAGGUGUAAACACACACCGAGAAUACAUGGAGCCGCGGUCAUCACUAAGAGGAUGACACGACUCAUUUCCUUACUCUCCUGACAAAUUAAUACCAAACUAGCUAACCUAAACAGUUGGCAAAAUCCAAAACAAAACAAAACAGUUAGAAAUCAUAUGAAAAGACGAAGCAACCAAGAUGGAAAAACAACAUGCAGAAUCUAAUAAAGCCGAAAAAGGGUGGUUGUCAGUCGUUAUCUGCCCAAGGUGACCCGCCUCCACAGUGCCUUUGUGAUUUAUACUGAUGGGAAGGCCGCUGAAGGCUGAUAUGUCUGUACCCCGGUUGUGACGACAGAAUCGUACUUGAAGGAGCGAUCGGUGAGGAACUCGCCCACCACAUACAUCGAAUAGUCUUCGACGACUAGUUCCGGUUGGGCUAGUCACUCUACUUUCUCAACCUGGUUUUCAAUUGCCGCUAGCGAUAGCCCUCGCAUCUGGGCUUCCAUAGCGCAAAGCUUAGCAGACGAGUGACGAGCAAAGGAGGGAGUUUGGCUACAGAUUCCAAGCUGAUGAUGAGGCUCUUUAGUUGCAGAAUCUGAGCUGCGGAGGAGGGAGUUUGGCAGCGGAUUCCGAGUUGAUGAUGAGGCGCUUUGGCGGUGGAAUCUCAGCUAAGGUGAAGGACCUGUAGAGCGAGUUAUGGAGGCGCCGAGUUGAAUGGAUGAUAGGCGGGAGGCGACAAGUUGAUCGGAUGAUAAGCGGCGGGUGAAACCCUAAAAAUUAGGGAGAACUAAAACCCUUAAAAGUUGGUGAUAGAAAUCAGUUAUAACCUACCGAGCUCUCUAAGUUAUCAUCUCCACCUUAAUUGUAGGAAAUCACUCAACUUCCUUUCUGCUUUCCUUCCAAAAUAUUUCUCUACCCGUUAAUAAAAAAAUUGUCUCACCCAUGAAUUGGGCAUCGAGCCCAUUCCAACUAAU